GUGGGGAAUCUUCCGCAAUGGACGAAAGUCUGACGGAGCGACGCCGCGUGAGUGAAGAAGGCCUUCGGGUCGUAAAGCUCUGUCAUCAGGGACGAACGGCCGGUGGAGUGGAAAGCCACCGGAUUGACGGUACCUGAGAAGGAAGCCACGGCUAACUACGUGCCAGCAGCCGCGGUAAUACGUAGGUGGCAAGCGUUGUCCGGAAUUAUUGGGCGUAAAGCGCGCGCAGGUGGGAUCUUAAGUCCAUUUUGAAAGUUCGGAACUCAACUCCGUGAUGGGAUGGAAACUGGGAUUCUUGAGUACCGGAGAGGAAAGCGGAAUUCCCCGUGUAGCGGUGAAAUGCGUAGAUAUGGGGAGGAACACCAGUGGCGAAGGCGGCUUUCUGGACGGUGUCUGACACUGAGGCGCGAAAGCUAGGGGAGCGAACGGGAUUAGAAACCCGGGUAGUCC
rnacentral:rRNA from 1 species